rnacentral:rRNA from 1 species
UACGUAGGGUGCGAGCGUUGUCCGGAAUUAUUGGGCGUAAAGGGCUCGUAGGCGGUCUGUUGCGUCGGGAGUGAAAACUCAGGGCUUAACCCUGAGCCUGCUUCCGAUACGGGCAGACUAGAGGUAUGCAGGGGAGAACGGAAUUCCUGGUGUAGCGGUGAAAUGCGCAGAUAUCAGGAGGAACACCGGUGGCGAAGGCGGGUCUCUGGGCAACUACUGACGCUGAGGAGCGAAAGCGUGGGGAGCGAACAGG